rnacentral:rRNA from 1 species
ACGGGGGGAACGAGCGUUGUUCGGAUUUACUGGGCGUAAAGGGCGUGCAGGCGGAGUUUUAAGUCGGAUGUGAAAACCCCGGGCUUAACCCGGGGCCUGCAUCUGAUACUGUUAAUCUUGAGUACGGGAGAGGAAAGCGGAAUUCCAGGUGUAGCGGUGACAUGCGUAGAUAUCUGGAAGAGCACCGGUGGCGAAGGCGGCUUUCUGGACCGAUUCUGACGCUGAGGCGCGAAAGCCAGGGGAGCAAACAU